CGUCCAAGGAUUGAAGGGAGAUCAGGAA
rnacentral:piRNA from 1 species